rnacentral:lncRNA from 1 species
AACCCUCCAACAUUGCCUUCGUUCGGAAGGUACGGGUUGCCGUGGGGAUGGAGUCCAGUCACUGUGUUUGUACGAGAAUAAGGAGAUAAGGAUUGUCUAGAACUAAGGCACAUAAGGUUGACAUCAAAGUUAAACUAUCGUAUUCAUAAAAUACUCCUAUAGUAUUCUAAAUGUUAUGUUUGAUUCUAAAGUUUAUAAGUUUGGUAAGUUUUAGACUUGUUGUCCAUUGUAGCUAUCCCCUGGCAUACACAGUUCGGCUCUCGGACAAAUAUAGUUGAUCAGGCUAUAUUUAUCCCAGUCCCGAUUACAUAUCCCAAGGCAUACUUGUAUUGCACAACUCAUCUAUAAUACUUCUAUAUUGUUUUAAUUAUGACACUAACCCUGUUAUUAAUAUGAAAUGAAUGCAUGCCUACUUUAUAAAAACUAAAUAAAUUUAAUUUUAAAAGUAUGACUCUUACUCAAAGUGUUUUUGACCAGUUGUGUUUAUAGUUGUAUAUCAAAAAUGGUUUUGAUAUACUUAGUUCACUAUAAACAAUGCUCUGAUACCAAUCUGUCACACCCCCAAAACCAGAACGGCGGAAACGUUCGGGGGCGGAGGACGUCAUGUCAAGUAUCAUAACAAAUGAAUAGUAAAGAAAGUACACACCACCAUAAUAUAAAUAUAUUUGAAAAGUUUACAUGAUUGUAUGUGUUACAUGUUUGCAAAAGAAAUCAAAUACAAUAUGGUGAUCCAAAAUAUGUUACUAACGCCAGCGCGUUAGUCUUCAAAAGUAGUUGCUACCUGGUUUAGCGGUUUCCUGAGAAUACAAGUUAUUUCAAAGAAAAAGUGUCAACAUUUAAGUUGGUGAGUUCAUAAGUGGUGUUUUGAGAAAAUGUAUGCCAUUCGAAAGUGCGUGUAUGUUUUCCAGAAAAUCCCUUAUUUUCUAUUAGAUGUAUGAAAUGAGUUUGAAAGAUUGUUGUAUGUACUAUAUGUAUUUGAACCAGGAAAAUCCCUUAUUUUCCUAAAAGUGAAAUGCAGUCUCAAAUGACCAAGACUGUAAGCUAUAAGAAACUAUGACAUGCUCAAAAGAAUGAUGUUGUAAAUCGUUAUUGUACAAAAUGAAUGUAUUUGAACCAGGAAAAUCCCUUAUUUUCCUAAAAGUGAAGUGCAGUCUUAUUGUUAAGUAAAACUAGUUGUGGAAGUGUUUUAACCUGAGUUUUGAUCAUGCCGAUAAUACCCUAGAAUAUAGUUAUUACCCCUCGAGCAUGAUUGAGUUAAGUAUUACUACGUGCAUGAGUCAUUGUUUCCGCGUGUUGUGAGUUCCUCAUAACCAUACUAGACGCAGUACCUAAUGUUGACGUUUGUCACCCCAAAUGACGGACUGUAGCUAACAGUCAGGGUGCGGAGUUGUCAGCCCCGUAUAGAUCUAUACACACUUGUCACGCUCUCCCUCCAGGAGACUCUGGUUAUAGGUGAGGACUUUCGUUUGGUACAAACAAAGCCAUAUGCCAUCACAUGAUUGCUAACAACAAGUUCACGAGUAAUAUGAUGAAAAUCGUUCGUAUGAAAUGAUUUCGUUUUCUACCGUGUUACAAAAACGUGAUGAUGAGUUGAGUUUUCUUGUAAAAGCAUCAUGUUAUAGUUGAAAUGGUUACUCUUGAUAUGAUGUAGUAUGCAAACGUAUAAAUAAAACCUAUUUCUAUUUAUAAAACAUAUUGUAUCCCAAGAGGGUAAAGUUGUGUUGUGAGGUGUUUUGCAUGAUAAUAACUUCAUAAGAUAGUUUAAAACAACAGUAUGAAAAGUAUAUAAAAAGAUCGAUGUUUCACACGAUUUUAGUUGUGUGUUUACUUGUAUUCCCCCCCUUAAAAGUGUUUCAAAAGCAUUUAAAAAGCAUUUAAAGUGUGGUUGUAGGGGUAUGAACUCACUUGAUUGAAGUGGUUGAUUUGAAGUAGUCGAGAGGAGAAUCGAGCAGAACUUCGACAGGAAGAGUUGGAAACGCGGGAAAAUAUCGGGAUUCUCGGGAAUCUCGGGAAUCUCGAGAACACAAAACCUUCCUUCGGGACUUGAAGGUGAAAACCGGGGCUUUGGGAGGGUCUCGGGGGCUUAAACGCAGAGUUUCGGCGCGAGAAAGAAAGGAACUGAACAAUGGAACUCGGAGCCCUUGAAAUCUACUUAUAGGGGCAUUUUUGGGGUGUGCCACGUCGUGGCAAGGUAUGGCCACGUCGUGGGGAGUUAAACUUAUCAUCUUCCAUUGAUUGUACGCCCUUAGUCACUUGUCGGGUCGCGUCAAGCUUGUGCCACGUCGUGGCAAGCUUGACAGCCUCGGAUUUCGGGUCCCGAACUUGUAAAAUCCGUAACUUUCGCGUACGAGCUCCAUUUUCGACGUUCUUUAUAUGCACGAGUAGCUAAAAAUAUGAUCUAAAACUCUCGUUCAGAAUUCAUCGGCAAAUUUUGACUUUAUUUUUAAUUAUUUAUUUAUAACGGGCCGGGACACAAAAAGUCCGUUAAAAUUCCAUAACUUCUUCAUCCGAUGUCCGUUUUCGUCCGACUUUUCGCCGUUGCGCUACUAAUGUUGAGACCUUCGAUUCUCAUUUAGGUUGUUUUGGUCAAAAGUAUCUCGAGCUCUAUUUCGAGUUUUUAGCUGUCUACUGCUAUACCCGAACCUUGGAAAAAUCAUAACUUCCUCAUACGAAGUCAGAUUUGGACGUUCUUUUUAUGUACGCUCACGGUUUGAUGUUAUCUAUAACUUUUAUUUAGAUACUUAAGGCUAAAAACUAUUGUAUUGAAACUUCGCGUUUUUCGUUUAAUCGGUGUUGCCGGUUUUGUCGGNAUCGGUGUUGUCGGUUUUGUCGGAAAUCUUAGAAUGGUCAUAACUUCUUCGUUAUAACUCAGAUUUUUGUGUUCUUUAUAUGUAUGAAAACCUUGUUACGAUUCCUACUACUUGAUUUAACCCAAAUAAGACUUUAGGAAAGUUAUAUUUUGACCUAAAUUUGACUGGUUUUACAUUACAUUGUCUCUAAAUAUCGGGUUGUCACAUCAUCCCCCCCGUUAGAGAAAAUUUCGCCCCGAAAUUAGAGUUUAAGAAGAAUUGAUAAAUAUGCUACGGAUAGAAGUUUUAUUUGUUUCUCGUGUUCUUGAGUGAACUCACGUCCUCGCUUGGCAUUCCAGCAAACCUUUCACUAUCGGGAUACGACUUUGCUUCUUUCGUUUGACUGCACUGGUAUGAUAACUCUUCUUUAUCGAAUGUGUGUUGAGUGUUUUUGUGGUCUGUGAGAGUAUUACACCUUGUACCCUACAAGUAGUGUUUCCAGAUCUUCAGAGCAAUUGCCAUUGCUCCUGACUCAAGAUCAUGUGUUGUAUAGUUAACUUCUUGCGUCUUAAGCUGUCUUGAGGUAUAGGCAGUGGCCUUUCCUCUUGUAUAAGAACGCAACCAAGCCCUUGGUUAGAUGCAUCGCCUUUCACCACGAAAUCUUCUAUCCCCUUUGAGAGGGAUAAUAUCGGUGCGAUACACCAAGCUUACUUUAGCUUUUGGAAUGCUCUUUCUUGUUACAGACAAGUCUGGUGCUCCUCCAAGUGAGAAUCUUGGCCUAAAGAAUCCUCAUCUGAGGAGCUUGUUAAGCUCACUAGGAAGUUCCAGUAUCUUAGUUGGAGUUAGACGAUAAGGUGAUUUGGCUGUUGGGGUAGCCCCUGGAACUAAGUCGAUUCUGAAUUCGACUUGACAUUGUGGUGGUAAUCCCGGUAGUUCUUCUGGAAAGGUGUUGGGAAAGUCGUGUACUUUUGGGAUGUUCUGAAUGUCCUUCACUUCUUGGCUCGUAUCGACGAUGUGUGCAAGGAAUGCAUGAUAUUCCUUUCAUAAGCAUUUCUAAGCUUGCAUACACGAAAUGAUGAGAGGGUUCGUACUUGGUCCGUCGCUGUAAAUAACUAGAGCUUCGUUGUUUAGGGAGGUUUGGAUGAACUGCUUUAUCCAAGCACCUGAUGUCGGCUCGAUGUAGACUUAACCAACUCCUACUGAUUAUGAUGUCAAAACCUUGGGGUGGAUUAGAUGUCGUGAAGAUCUCAAAGAAAGUAUGACUACUCAUGAAUUAGGGAAAAGGAUAGGUAUUUCUAAGUUUAUUCUCACGGAAGCACGACCACUCUCAGCCUUGGGCAGUCUCCGUCCUGAAGUUCAUAGUAGAACCCAUACUAGGUUCAUCAAUCACAGCCUCAAGUAUACGAGUUGUAUAUAAUUAAGACUGAAAUUGUGGGUCUUUGGAUUGAACUUGACGUAUUGCACGAGUGGUACUUCGGGGAGGUUUGUUGAGGUUUCUUUGGAAAGGAUAAGAAACAUGAGGUACUCUACGCAUGAGUACUUUAGAGUUCUGAAGUGAUAGUUACGUUAGAAAGCUGAUUUCGAAUAAAGAGAUUUACGCACGAAACUGGUAUUGUGAGGAUCAAAUAGACUCUGAUCGUAUGAUGAAAUCGGAAUCACUUGGAACUAAAUGCACUAGAUUUGAUCAUAAAGGAGUUACAGACAAAACACAAUAGUGCAACUUUUUAACAGAGUUACAGUACUUUAGAGUAACUACAGGAAUACUGUUGCGAACAAAAUAUACUACAAAAGGCAAGUAUACGCAGCACGAGGGUCCCUUAACUGACGGGAUCUCGCAAAAGAUAAGACUCGAGUUGCACUAGUUUUAAACAUGUUUUUAAAAACAUACAUAAUACUGACGAUUGGAAGUGAACCUAUACUAUAGUAGGGUCCUUCGUUGUCUCUUUCCAUUAUAAGGUCAAACUCCUCCGGAUUCACCAUCAUUCUCCUCUGUUGGACAGUCCCUCUUGAAGUGUCCUAUUACGCCACAUAGAUGGCAUAUUCGAGAGAUUUCGACAUUGGUGGUUGAAGUAAUGUGUUGGAUCCGAGUCUUGCAGUAACGGACGGUGUGUCCCUUUUUAUUUCAGUUUAAGCACUGCAUUUUCCGACAAAGUCCAUGAUGGUGAUAGUUGCAUUUGUUGCACUUUGGGAGAUUGCCAGCAUACUGUUUGGCCGGGUUAGGGAUAACUGGGAUACUAUAAGAGAUGGUAGUAGGAGGUACAGAAGUCGUGGAUGCGAAGGUUGCCACAUGUUGUUGUCUUUUGCUCGCCCCUUGGGGUGAUUUGACUUUAGCCUUAGCCCAGAACUUUCGUUUGUUAUUCUUGGGCUUGGGAUUCGAGGUGUCGUGGUAGUUUGUUGCUCGUUGAGGUACUUGAUUGUUACAUGGAUUGGAAUUAUCGUUAACAAUCCCGCUAACAUUCGCUUUGUUAGCGUUAAGGUGGGUCAGAACAGCUGACACAGUAGCCAAGACUGCAGCUUGAAAGGUAGCUGCAUCAAUCUGAAGAGUUGGUGUUUGGUUGAUGGGUUGAUCGUUUUUCUUCGGCGACAUGAUUCUGUUACACGGAAAGAAAAAUGAAUUUGUGAGUGAGUAUGGUUGAACCUAGACGUAGUUCGAUCGUUCAUGAAAAGAAUAGAAGUAUGUUCUCGAAGGUUUGACCUACAUCUCUAUGAUGCAGUCCCAGUACGGAAUAGGAGUAUGUUCACGAAGGUGUGACCUACAUCCCUAUGAUGCAGUCCUAGUAUAGAUUAGAAGUAAACUAAUAGAAUGGUCUCAAAACGUUUAUCGUCCAAACUAGGGUAUUAUUGGUUGGUGGAUAACAUGAUCCAACCUUUGAGAGAAACUUGGAAAUGAUCCCGGAGUUAAAUUACCAUAGUCCAAUAACUUGACUAGAUGGGGUUUUAGAUAGACUCCAAUGAAAGCAUGAUGAAAGCAUUUGAACAAAGAUUGACACGGAAGUUAGCCGACUGUCGGUAUCAUUGAUGUUUAACACGUAAUAGGUUUGGGAAAUUGACCUUGUUGUAGGUCUUACAUCAUAUUCGGAGUAGAAAAGUCUUCGACAGCAUAAAGACUUAAAUAAAAGUACUUACAGUACAAGGUAAUUACAUAGAAAGUACUACACAGAACAUAGACAGGAACACGAUAUCUUCUACUGGCGACGGUCACCCCUAUGGUGAACCCUUAGUUCGGUUAGUUGACGUUCCAUACCAAGCAGGUAUCUCUCGUACACCCUCUGGCGUACUUGGAGCUCUAUGACUUCGGCUCGGGUUUCAGCUAGUGCUUACAGCAGGGUCUCAUGGUUUCUAUCAGAUCUCCCACUUGUGAUCAAGGUGAUUGGUGCGAAUGGUAUGCAUUCUUGCAUUGGUAUUAACCUCUUUGAUACAUUGGAGAGCCGUCAUGCCCUGAAUUUCGUUUCAGGAAACUCUACAGAUUCGGAUUGGUAGAACUCUGUCUGCUGAGCUCCCUUCAUUUACGUUGUAGAAGCUUCGGUCUCCAUUAAACGGCAUAGGUUGAUCUUGCUCUUCGCUCCAUGUUUCCAAGCAUUCUACCCAAGGAGGCGUCGGGCCAUGAAAAGCGAGGAGAGGGUUAGGAUAUAGAAAUGGAGUUAUCGGGGGUAGGUUCUCAACCUCUGGUUCGGAGUUAUCAACAUCCGAAAGGUUUUCAGCAUGGUGAUCAUUCAAAGGGAUUGGAUGAUCAUUCUCGGGUUCUUCUUCAAACCCUCCAACAUUGCCUUCGUUCGGAAGGUACGGGUUGCCGUGGGGAUGGAGUCCAGUCACUGUGUUUGUACGAGAAUAAGGAGAUAAGGAUUGUCUAGAACUAAGGCACAUAAGGUUGACAUCAAAGUUAAACUAUCGUAUUCAUAAAAUACUCCUAUAGUAUUCUAAAUGUUAUGUUUGAUUCUAAAGUUUAUAAGUUUGGUAAGUUUUAGACUUGUUGUCCAUUGUAGCUAUCCCCUGGCAUACACAGUUCGGCUCUCGGACAAAUAUAGUUGAUCAGGCUAUAUUUAUCCCAGUCCCGAUUACAUAUCCCAAGGCAUACUUGUAUUGCACAACUCAUCUAUAAUACUUCUAUAUUGUUUUAAUUAUGACACUGACCCUGUUAUUAAUAUGAAAUGAAUGCAUGCCUACUUUACAAAAACUAAAUAAAUUUAAUUUUAAAAGUAUGACUCUUACUCAGAGUGUUUUUGCCCAGU